AUAUCAAUAAGCGGAGGAAAAGAAACCAACAGGGAUUGCCUCAGUAACGGCGAGUGAAGCGGCAACAGCUCAAAUUUGAAAUCUCAGGUAUUCUACUUGCGAGUUGUAAUUUGAAGAGGAUGUUUCGGUUGUAACCUAGGCCUAAGUUCCUUGGAACAGGACGUCGUAGAGGGUGAGAAUCCCGUACACGGCUGUAGGUUUACUUCCAUGUGUAACUCCUUCGAAGAGUCGAGUUGUUUGGGAAUGCAGCUCAAAAUGGGUGGUAAAUUUCAUCUAAAGCUAAAUACUGGCGAGAGACCGAUAGCGCACAAGUAGAGUGAUCGAAAGAUGAAAAGCACUUUGAAAAGAGAGUUAAACAGUACGUGAAAUUGUUGAAAGGGAAGCGUUUGCAAUCAGACUUGCUUUCGGUUGAUCAAYGUUCCUUUUGGUUCGUGCACUCUGCCGUUCGCAGGCCAGCAUCGGUUAGGACGGUGGGACAAAGACUCAAGGAAUGUGGCAUUCUUCGGGAUGUGUUAUAGCCUUGUGUGUAAUGCCACCAGACCUGACCGAGGUCCGCGCUUUUUGCUAGGAUGCUGGCGUAAUGGUUGUAAACGACCCGUCUUGAAACACGGACCAAGGAGUCUAACAUCUAUGCGAGUGUUUGGGUGUCAAACCCAUACGCGUAAUGAAAGUGAACGGAGGUGGGAGUCUUAGGAUGCACCAUCGACCGAUCCUGAUGUUCUCGGAUGGAUUUGAGUAGGAGCAUAGCUGUUGGGACCCGAAAGAUGGUGAACUAUGCCUGAAUAGGGUGAAGCCAGAGGAAACUCUGGUGGAGGCUCGCAGCGGUUCUGACGUGCAAAUCGAUCGUCAAAUUUGGGUAUAGGGGCGAAAGACUAAUCGA
rnacentral:rRNA from 1 species